GGUGCUGUGGCUUAGUGGUUAAAGCGCCUGCCUUGUAACCAGGCAAUCCUUGGUUCAAAUCCCAGCAAUACCU